rnacentral:rRNA from 1 species
AGCAGCCGCGGUGAUUCCAGCUCCAAUAGCGUAUAUUAAAGUUGCUGCAGUUAAAAAGCUCGUAGUUGAAUUUCGGGACCAUCAUGUCGGUCGUGCCUCGGUACGUACUGGCAUUGUUGGUUUCUCCCUUCUGACGAACCAUGAUGUCAUUUAUUUGGUGUUGUGGGGAAUCAGGACUGUUACUUUGAAAAAUUAGAGUGUUUAAAGCAGGCUCACGCUUGAAUACAUUAGCAUGGAAUAAUGAAAUAGGACGUUUGAUUCUAUUUUGUUGGUUUCUAGGAUCGACGUAAUGAUUAAUAGGGAUAGUUGGGGGCAUUAGUAUUCAAUUGUCAGAGGUGAAAUUCUUGGAUUUAUUGAAGACUAACUACUGCGAAAGCAUUUGCCAAGGAUGUUUUCAUUAAUCAAGAACGAAAGUUAGGGGAUCGAAGACGAUCAGAUACCGUCGUAGUC